UGCCUCAGUAACGGCGAGUGAAGCGGCAACAGCUCAAAUUUGAAAUCUGGCUCCUUCGGGGUCCGAGUUGUAAUUUGCAGAGGAUGCGUCGGGUACGGGUCCCUACCGAGUUCCCUGGAACGGGACGCCAUAGAGGGUGAGAGCCCCGUCUGGUAGGAUACCCAGCCCAUGUGACGCUCCCUCGACGAGUCGAGUAGUUUGGGAAUGCUGCUCUAACGGGAGGUAUACUCCUUCCAAAGCUAAAUACCGGCUGGAGACCGAUAGCGCACAAGUAGAGUGAUCGAAAGAUGAAAAGCACUUUGAAAAGAGAGUCAAACAGCACGUGAAAUUGUUAAAAGGGAAGCACUCGCUACCAGACUUGGGUUUGGCGGUUCAACCGGGGCCACGCCCCGGGGCAUUCCGCCAGCUCAGGCCAGCAUCAGCUUUCCGUCGGGGGCAAAGACGUCGGGAAUGUGGCUCCCCCUCGGGGGAGUGUUAUAGCCCGGCGUGUCAUACCCUUCGGGGGGCUGAGGUACGCGCUUCUGCAAGGAUGCUGGCGUAAUGGUAGCUAGUGACCCGUCUUGAAACACGGACCAAGGAGUCAACCUUAUGUGCGAGUGCCCGGGCGUAAAACCCCAGCGCGGAAUGAAAGUGAACGUAGGUGAGAGCUUCGGCGCAUCACCGACCGAUCCUGAUGUCCUCGGACGGAUUUGAGUGAGAGCAUAUAGGGUUGGACCCGAAAGAAGAUGAACUAUGCGUGUGUAGGGUGAAGCCAGAGGAAACUCUGGUGGAGGCUCGCAGCGGUUCUGACGUGCAAAUCGAUCGUCAAACAUGCGCAUGGGGGCGAAAGACUAAUCGA
rnacentral:rRNA from 1 species